AGUAAUGCUUGGGAAUCUAGCUUAUGGAGGGGGAUAACUACGGGAAACUGUAGCUAAUACCGCGUAGUAUCGAGAGAUGAAAGUGUGGGACCUUCGGGCCACAUGCCAUAGGAUGAGCCCAGGUGGGAUUAGGUAGUUGGUGAGGUAAAGGCUCACCAAGCCGACGAUCUCUAGCUGGUCUGAGAGGAUGACCAGCCACACUGGGACUGAGACACGGCCCAG
rnacentral:rRNA from 1 species